CAAGGGGGCUAGCGUUGUUCGGAAUUACUGGGCGUAAAGCGCGCGCAGGCGGCCGUGCAAGUCGGGGGUGAAAUCCCAGAGCUCAACUCUGGAAUUGCCUUCGAGACUGCUUGGCUUCGAGUACGGGAGAGGUGAGUGGAAUUCCCAGUGUAGAGGUGAAAUUCGUAGAUAUUGGGAAGAACACCAGUGGCGAAGGCGGCUCACUGGCCCGUUACUGACGCUCAUGCGCGACAGCGUGGGGAUCAAACAGGAUUAGAUACCCUGGUAGUCCACGCCGUAAACGAUGGAUGCUAGCCGUUGGCAAGCUUGCUUGUCAGUGGCGCAGCUAACGCAUUAAGCAUCCCGCCUGGGGAGUACGGCCGCAAGGUUG
rnacentral:rRNA from 1 species